CACACAAACACCUCUCCGUCACCGUGAACACACUCUGUGUAUUUCUCAUCUACUUCACUGUUUCGUUUCUUGGUGAAGUUCUCAGCAGAAUCCAGACAGUGUCUGAUGUGUAAAUAAGUGUUUACAUGGCAGGUAAACACCUAUUUAUAUGUGAUGUAAACACCUGCUUGCACAAACACAUGUAUGGGGUGUUUUUGCUCAGCUGCUGUUGGUGUGUGUGUGUGUGUGUGUACUGAGGUGAGGGCUCAGCGAGUGCCUUAAGGUAGAUUUGUCCCCUGAGGAGAGCUCCUCUCACUGCACUGAGAGUCCCUGACUGAGAGCCUAUUAACCAGAACUCCCACUGCGACACACACACACACACACACACACACACACACACACGAUACCGACAUAAUAAUGACUUAGGACAGGAUGGAGGGAGAGUUAGAGAAAGACCUACUGCCACUUCCCUGCAGUAUUAAAGCUUUAUAUUCAUCUACAGGUUUCCCUCCAGGCGGCAAGGUGCAGCUGAACGACUUCACUGAGACUGAACUAUGAAUUGGCAUUGUUGCAGAAGGUUUACUCAUGAGCGGAAAGAUAAGAUUUAUACAUACAUCUAUAAUAGACCACAUUCCUAACGUGGCAUUUACAAGAUAGUGAGAGCAGCUCCUCCUUGCGCAAUUAAGAUAACACAGCUUUAUGGAGGAAAUCAAAACUUAAACCGGAGACCGGAAACCUGAACUAUGGCUGCUUGCUGAACACAGAAACACAGUACAGUCUGAUUAAAACAAAUACAAAUAUUGAUAAUGGAGAUACACUUCUUCACUUAGAUGUUAAGACCAUCAGGGUCAGGGGUGCAGGAAGAUCUGGAGCUGAUGCCAGCUGACACUGGGCAAGAGGCGAGGUACGCCAUGGAGUCUCCAGCUCAUAGCAGGGCACACAGAGACAUUCACACUCACAUUCACACCUACAGGUAAUUUAGAGUCACCAAUUAACCUCUUAAGUGCAUGUCUUUGGACUGUGGGAGGAAGCCGAAAUACCGGGAGAGAACAUGAGAAGUUCCAGUUCCAGUACAAGUUAAUUUUACCUCAAUGUUACUGAAUAGACUUUUAAUUAUUUCAGCUUUAGUUUUAUAAAUAUUGUUUAGUCUGUAAUGUUGGCAUGGCGACCAUGGUCUAAAAACAACAAUACCCAUAAGCCUAGGCUGUUGUUGCUAUGGAGAAGAGGCCAGUUGGAAGAGUGAAUCAUAGGGGAAGAUCCCAGCUGUUACUACUAGAUCCUUACUUUGACCAGGUACUGGUACUGCUGAGGGUUCCUCUCCAGGCCCAGGCGUCUCAGCAGGUCCUCCUCGCCUCCUUCGAUCAGCUGAUAGAAAAUGUGGAAGUUCCUCUCCCCGUGGUUCUGGUGGACCACGCGGGACUUCUCCAGCAGCGGCUCGAGUUGUCAUUACGCAGCGUCUUGGCAUUACCAAAGGCCUGUAGAGAGGACAGAGCGGGAUAAAGAAAGCAGAGGAGCGAUGAUUGACGGUGAUGACGAUGAAGAAAGUGUGAUGAAGACAGGACGACAGAUGAGAAGCACAGGGUUGGACUGCAGCAGGCGGUCUUUGACGGUUUGCACCUGAUCGCUGGCUGGACAGGUGAAGGCGUAGUACUGCAGGAUCUUCUUGGACGCCUCCGUCUUCCCGGCACCACUCUCCCCGGAGAUGAGGAUGCACUGGUCCUUCCUCUCCGUCCUCAAGGAACGUGCCUCGGCUCUCUUUCAAAUGACAGAUUGAAGCGACCACAUCUAAAAGAAGCAGAGAAAGGGGGAGAAAGCAGAGGGAUUUGAUCAUCCAGCCAGCUUGUGAACAAUAGCAGCGUGACCUUUACAUCGCCUCGGGUGUGCGCACGGAGCUCAGAUGUCACACUGUUUAUGUAAACCUCAUCUAACCUGCUGCUUGCAGUGCGCCAUACAGUGCUCAUGAUGGAAACACGGACGGAUAAUGACGAGAAAUUUAAAACAUAACAGCCAUUUAAGACGGCAAAAAAGACAAAGUGUUUCCUGUUUUAUGUUGCACCAGGACUACCUUAACAUUACAGAUACACUGAGCACUUACUAUAUAUUGGUCAAUAUCAAAAAUGAGGACCAAUCGUGUCCAUUAGCUUUAGAGAA